rnacentral:rRNA from 1 species
CGCGUAGGCGGGCUGCCAAGUCUGGGGUGAAAUCCUUCGGCUCAACCGGAGAACGGCCUCAGAUACUGGCGAUCUCGAGGAGGGUAGGGGCAUGCGGAACUAUGGGUGGAGCGGUGAAAUGCGUUGAUAUCCAUAGGAACUCCGGUGGCGAAGGCGGCGUGCUGGACCCUUUCUGACGCUGAGGCGCGAAAGCCAGGGAGCAAACG